rnacentral:rRNA from 1 species
UACGAAGGGGGCUAGCGUUGUUCGGAAUUACUGGGCGUAAAGCGCACGUAGGCGGAUAUUUAAGUCAGGGGUGAAAUCCCAGAGCUCAACUCCGGAACUGCCUUUGAUACUGGGUAUCUUGAGUAUGGAAGAGGUAAGUGGAAUUGCGGAGUGUAGAGGUGAAAUUCGUAGAUAUUACGGAAGAACACCAGUGGCGAAGGCGACUUACU